UAAAUUUCCCCCAUUUUGAAAUGUUGGUAUUUGACAUAAUUGUUUAAAUAUUUAAAACUUAUGACUGGUCUGUGAACUGGUCUGUUGCUAGAGCCUGGUCCUGAAUGGAAAAUGUUAUUGGGUAAUGUAUAUUUAUUUGUACAGGAUUUUAGAUGAGUUCUGUUUUGAAUCCCAGUACUCUGUCUAGUACCCAAGCAUUGUUUGUAAUCGGACUACAAACAUGGAAAUUAUGUGUAAGUCUGUCUCCUAGCCUUUUUGGGUAAGAAGGAGGAGCGAAUACGCACCAGAGGAUGAUCAGAAAUGAGAUACUCCUUGUUGACCUCUGGAUCUCCACGGUGUGCCGCUUAGGGUACAAAAAGAUGAUCUGGCUGAUGGGAAUGAUGGGAACCUGCCUAUUUUGUUAUGAGACUAGAAGAACUCUGCAGAAGGUCUUUUAUGUGGUGUUUUUACACUCUUAAAUUCUGUUAUGAUUUUGGUCCUUCCUGAUGUUUUGAACAUGUAGGGAGAUAUCAAAAGGACCGUCACAACAAUGUUUGCCUUCCCAGACAUCCUAAAACACUGAGCUCCACAAAAUCGAUCUGAAG